UACGUAGGGUGCGAGCGUUAAUCGGAAUUACUGGGCGUAAAGCGUGCGCAGGCGGUUUGCUAAGACAGGUGUGAAAUCCCCGGGCUUAACCUGGGAACUGCGCUUGUGACUGGCAGGCUAGAGUACGGUAGAGGGGGGUGGAAUUCCUGGUGUAGCAGUGAAAUGCGUAGAUAUCAGGAGAAACACCGAUGGCGAAGGCAGCCCCCUGGGCCUGUACUGACGCUCAUGCACGAAAGCGUGGGGAGCAAACAGUAUUAGAUACCCCGGUAGUCCCU
rnacentral:rRNA from 1 species